ACAGAAGGGCUCCUGGUGUUCAGAGGGAACCUCCUGUGCUCCAGUUUGUGCCCAUGGCUUCUGUCCUGGCACUGAUAGCAAUAAGCCUCUCUCCUGCACUUGCACAAUCUGGUAUAGUUUAGACUAUCCAGAAGUAUACUAUGAACUUCAAAAAGAUGUUAUCUACUAGCAGUACAAUCUUGAGAAGUGCCUUUUAAAGCACACGGAUCAAUUCAGAAGAUCACAAUUUAAAAAGAAAGCAAUUUUUCUGAGCUAGGAAACUGUUCAAAAUUUUUAUUCAAGGUCGCUCAAGUACAAUAUUUCAAAAUGGAUGCUACAUAUUAUAAGAAGUACGUAUAGGUAGCCAAAGAUGAUCAGCUUCAGGAAUGUCUGAGCACUCAACUAUGUUUUUCCAGUUCUUAACCAAAGAAUCCCCAUAACAACAAUAAUAACAACAUCAUCCGGGUUCUAAUUUACUCUGAUUGGCUUCUUUUUUUUUUUUUUCCUUUAAAAAAAAUUGUGCUCCUUGGAUAUUUUUAAAGCAUUUCUGAAAUACUGUAAACUAUUCUCCAAAAUAUAAUGAAAUAUACACACAAUUCAUCUGACUCUAAGGCUUGCGAAAAGUACUAACAUCAGACAGCAUAAAGUCUGCUCUUAAACAGCUGCGUAUCCCUGGCUGAACUGUGAUAUUUAUGCAACCUGUUUGGUAACGAGUAAUAAAUUUCUGCAAUAAGCUUUGCACACUACGAGGUAUCUUCUGAAUCAUUAUUUCAGUCGUAUCUGUGAUGGGUUGUUUUGGAAACUGAAAUGAGUAACAAAUAAGAGGAAGGAAAGCAAGUUUGCUAUCUGUCACUGAAAAUCACUUUUUAAAAGAUGUUUCCAAGAAACUCAUCUUCAUAAUUCUAUAAUGAAAACCCAAAAAUAGCUGUGCUGUCUCACUCUCUCACCAGCCUCAUUUGUUUGAAGUGUUUAAUAUAAAAUAUAAUUUGACAGAGGGUGUUAUAUUAUGCAACCUUGAUGGUAAACCUGAGAUUAAAGGUAUUAAUUCUUGUUAAAAGGCGGAGAGGGAUUUGUUAAAUGUUUAUCUUCAGGUUUAUUUUAACUGUAGCUAGGGACUAUUUUGCUCAUCGAACGCAGAACCAAGCUCACUGCCUCCCACCUGUGCCCCCACAGAUCUGAAAGAAUGGUUACCUGGAUACCUGCAUCCAGGGAAUACAUGAACUUAAAACAGGCUGAGUUUCUUCCCCAAGAGCAGAAACCCUUAACAAAGAGUUACCUGAAGACUUUUUUUCUGUUUGUGUGCAUUUGUCAUGAAGAUGAGCAUCCUUGCUCUGAGAACUGGAUCCCUGUCAUGACAUCUCAAGCACAGCAACAAAAAUUAUAACAUGAAAAAAAUAACAAACAGUGAACAAGAGAACUAAUGAAGUCUCUCUUCUUACUUUAUAACUCUACGUCUCCUCGCAUUUGAUUCACCCUAGCAUUGAGAAAUGAGAAUUUGUUGAGACAUAUGCUGACCUUUCAAUUUACAUGACAACGCAGAACUUCAGUCAAUGCUUACCAGUUACCUUCUCCCAUGUCUGUAAAAUAACUAUCUGCCAUCAUACUCAGCAACUUCUUAAAAUAAAUCAGACGUUUUGAAAUA